UACAACAAGGAAGCACUACUUUACUUUUCGGGAUCUGGUUGAGGUUCUUCACUACAAAAAAAGUCUUCAUUGAUAGCAUACCAUUAUAGC
rnacentral:sRNA from 1 species